AGCGUGGGCGGGGAGAAGAGGUUGCGGGGGCGGUACCAGAGAAGCAGCGCUCUGAUUACUUAUGCUCCAGAAGCCUAUCGAAACGGCGCAAGCGCGUCGGGAGCCUUCGGCUGGGCCGGAAGUAGCGGAGAAGGGAGGGGGUGAGCCCCCGGAGGGGAGGAGUCUGGGUCCUAAACUGGAGCAGCUUUGAUGCCAGACCGCGCGCACCACACGUAGGUGGGGUCCGGAGUCAGAUCUGAGCUUGGUGGUGCAUGUCUGUAAUCCCAGCACUGAGGAGGUUGAGGCAGGAGGAUGAAUUUUUGAGGCCAGCCUGGAGUACAUAGUGAGACUGUUUCAACCUUCCUCAAAUCAAAGUGUACCAUCUGGAAUGUGGAUACAAUGGCUGGAAUAUCUGCAUUUAUAUUGGACCAUGACGACAUCAAAGUUUACACCUAGAAGGAGUCUUUAUUUCAUGGCACUACCAUUUCAGCACUGAAUUUCCUCUCUGAAAUUCUAUAGUAUUUAUGCUACCUUUAUUUCGUGGCAAUGCCCACAGAAGAAAUAGUUUUGAGGGGGAAGAUGAGUUUGGAUUUUGGGCAUGUGAUGGUGAAACACUGGCAGGACCACUCAGAGAGAUGUAGGCUGCUCACAUCCACGGAAUGAUGCUACAGUUGAAUUAAACCAGGACCUGUGAGGCAGGUGCAGCAUCACUGAGCUAAAUCCCCGGCCCUCCAAGGGACUCACAGCUAAGAGUUUGCCUUGGGUCUCAGAGGAGAACUUAAGACUUGGACUUUCCAGCAGUUCUGAACCAUUAAGACUUUGGUGACUCUUAGAGAUAGACUAAAUGUAUUUUGCACAAAGAGAUGCACAUGAGUCUUCUAGAUGUUGUGGCAAAAUUUUAUGGUUUAGAUCAAGAAUGAGUUCCAAAAAUCUCAUGCACUCAUAUGUAGGGCUUUGGAAGAUGAUUGGAUAUUCAGGAAGCUAUAGCUGACUUGCUCUUAGGAAGUGUGGCCCAAUUAGAGGCAGAUCAUGGGGUGGGACCUGGAAGGGUAUGUAUCCCUCCUUGGGUCCUCUCUUAUCUCUCUGCUUCCUUGCUACCAUGAUGUGAGCAGCUUUCCUGCAUAGCAAGUCCUUCUACCAUGUUGCUUCUGCCUUUGAGCCUGCCAAACAUAGACUGAAAAUGUAAGCUAAAAUAAACCUAUUCUCCUUUAAGUUGUGGGUGUUGAGUAUUAUGUCUCAGCAAUGAUAAAAUCACUAAGACUCCCACCAACAAGUUUUAUAUGUUUUUUUAAAACUAGAAUUAAAAAUUUAAAAAUAAGUCAAGUUCAUGCUGGAGUAGAGUAGACCUCUAAUUCAAUGUAACUGGUAUCGUAUCCAUACAAGAUAAUGACUACUGAAACAGCCCUGUGGCCCUGGUGGAAAAUACAGACCCAUGGGCUGGAGCCCAACCAACUCCACAACUGUGAAUUCCACACCUUGGCUCAGCCACCGUCAACUUGGAGCUGGCUCUGCAUUGUUUCCCCUCUGCAUGGUACAGCAGAAGUGCCUACCAAACAAUAGACCUGAUCUUGGACAAGGAAAAAGUCUGGAAUAGAGGAUUCAUCAUGGCUGACUAGGGGAGAAGUCACAUCACAGAAGUUGAGGAAAGAUCCAACAUGGCUGAGUAGAGAAGGAGCCAUGUUAGAGAGACUCAGGGAACAUUAACCAGAAACAAGGAAGAGGAGAAACUAUCAGAAAAGUAAAGGAACAUAAGAUACGGAUUAACCAAACACAAUGUGGUGAUCAUGUCUGAAUUGUGAUUUGAAGAUUCUAACCCAAAGAACACUUCAGAGACAACUGUAGAACAUUCUAUAAGGAAGAGAGAACUGCACUGGGGUGAAAGAAUCAGCAACCAUUGGAACCUGCAAGGGAAGUGUGGGAUACUGCUUUCAGAGUGGCCUUCCAUAGUCAACAUUUGAUAAGUGACCAUGGUCCGGGGUCCCCCGCCACAAUUGUGGAACAAGCGCU
ensembl:lncRNA